AUUGAACGCUGGCGGCAUGCCUAACACAUGCAAGUCGAACGGGGCAGCAAUGCCUAGUGGCGGACGGGUGAGGAAUACGUAGGAAUCUGCCCUUAAGAGGGGGAUAACUGGGGGAAACCCUGACUAAUACCGCAUGAUCUCUUCGGAGCAAAGCGGGGGACCGCAAGGCCUCUCGCUUCUGGAUGAGCCAACGACUGAUUAGCUAGUUGGUAGGGUAAAGGCCUACCAAGGCGACGAUCAGUAACUGGUCUGAGCAGAUGAUCAGUCACAACGGAACUGGGACACGGUCCGGACUCCUGCGGGAGGCAGCAGUGGGGAAUAUUGGACAAUGGGCGCAAGCCUGAUCCAGCAAUGCCGCGUAUGUGAAGAAGGGCUUCGAGUUGUAAAGCACUUUGGCCUGGAAAGAAAAAACUUUGGUUAACACCCAAAGUCUUGACGGUACCAGGAGAAUAAGCACCGGCUAACUCUGUGCCAGCAGCCGCCGUAAGAC
rnacentral:rRNA from 1 species